rnacentral:rRNA from 1 species
GUAUAGUACCGUGAGGGAAAGGUGAAAAGAACCCCGGGAGGGGAGUGAAAUAGAACCUGAAACCCUGCACUUACAAGCUGUGGAAGCACAUUUCUUGUGUGACCGCGUACUUUUUGUAGAACGGGCCAACGAGUUACGUUAAGUAGCAAGGUUAAGCACUUAAGGUGCGGAGCCGUAGCGAAAGCGAGUUUUAACUGAGCGUUCAGUUACUUGACGUAGACCCGAAACCGGGCGACCUACCCAUGAGCAGGAUGAAGCGAAAGUAAAAUUUCGUGGAGGUCCGAACCCACGAGCGUUGAAAAGCUCGGGGAUGACUUGUGGGUAGCGGUGAAAUUCCAAUCGAGCCCGGAGAUAGCUGGUUCUCCCCGAAAUAGCUUUAGGGCUAGCCUCAAGGUGAGAGAUACGGAGGUAGAGCACUGAAUGUCCUAGGGGGUAUUGCACCUACCGAAGACUAUCAAACUCCGAAUGCCGUCAUCUUAUACUUGGGAGUCAGACUGUGGGUGAUAAGAUUCAUAGUCGAAAGGGCAACAGCCCAGAUCGUCAGCUAAGGUCCCUAAAUGUAAGUUAAGUGGUAAAGGAUGUGGGAUUGCACAGACAACCAGGAUGUUGGCUUAGAAGCAGCCACUCAUUCAAAGAGUGCGUAAUAGCUCACUGGUCGAGUGAUCCUGCGCCGAAGAUUUCCGGGGCUAAAACUUACUACCGAAGCUACGGCAUCAGUAAUGAUGGGUAGGGGAGCUUCCCAUACGGGUUGAAGCAUGACCGUAAGGACAUGUGGACAGUAUGGGAGUGAGAAUGUUGGCAUGAGUAGCGAGAUGUGGGUGAGAAUCCCACAGGCCGUAAACCCAAGGUUUCCAGGGGAAGGUUCGUCCGCCCUGGGUUAGUCGGGACCUAAGCUGAGGCCGAAAGGCGUAGGUGAUGGACAACAGGUUGAUAUUCCUGUACUACCGAUAACCGUUUGAGAGAUGGGAUGACACAGUAGGAUAAGCUAAGCACACUGUUGGUUAUGUGUGCCCAAGCAUUGAGGCAGUCAAAGUAGGCAAAUCCGCUUUGAUAAUGCUGGGAUGUGAUGGGGAGCGAAAUUUAGUAGCGAAGUAGCUGAUUUCACACUGUCAAGAAAAGUCUCUAUCGAGGUUAAAGGUACCCGUACCGCAAACCGACACAGGUGGGUGAGGAGAGUAUCCUAAGGCCAGCGAGAGAACUGUUGUUAAGGAACUCGGCAAAAUGACCCCGUAACUUAGGGAUAAGGGGUGCCACCAUCAGGUGGCCGCAGAGAAUAGGCCCAAGCGACUGUUUACCAAAAACAUAGGUUUCUGCUAAGUCGCAAGACGAUGUAUAGGAGCUGACGCCUGCCCGGUGCUGGAAGGUUAAGGGGAUCUGUUAGAGCAAUCGAAGCAGUGAACUUAAGCCCCAGUAAACGGCGGCCGUAACUAUAACGGUCCUAAGGUAGCGAAAUUCCUUGUCGGGUAAGUUCCGACCCGCACGAAAGGCGUAACGAUUUGGGCACUGUCUCAACAACAGACUCGGUGAAAUUGUAAUUCCGGUGAAGAUGCCGGAUACCUGCGACAGGACGGAAAGACCCCAUGGAGCUUUACUGUAGCUUGACAUUGGGUCUUGGUACUACAUGUACAGGAUAGGUGGGAGGCUUUGAAACCAGGACGCCAGUUUUGGCGGAGCCAUCCUUGGGAUACCACCCUUGUAGUACUGGGACUCUAACCAUAGGCCAUGAAUCUGGUCUUGGGACACUGUCAGGUGGGCAGUUUGACUGGGGCGGUCGCCUCCCAAAAGGUAACGGAGGCGCUCAAAGGUUCUCUCAGUACGGUCGGAAAUCGUACGUAGAGUGUAAAGGCAAAAGAGAGCUUGAUUGCAAGACAUACAGGUCGAGCAAGGAUGAAAAUCGGACUUAGUGAUCCGGUGGUUCUGCGUGGAAGGGCCAUCGCUCAACGGAUAAAAGCUACCCUGGGGAUAACAGGCUUAUCUCCCCCAAGAGUCCACAUCGACGGGGAGGUUUGGCACCUCGAUGUCGGCUCAUCAC